AUUGAACGCUGGCGGCAGGCCUAACACAUGCAAGUCGAGCGGAUACAGGAAGAUUGUUCCUGCUUUCCGCGGGAGACGGGGGCGUGAGGCCUAUGUCUCUGACACUUCGUGAUGGAUGGGGUCAGCAACCGGAAGCGGAUACUACAUCCGCCUAGAGGGCGAAGGUCAAGGAUCUUCAGCCCUCGCCCUCUUAGCUGAGCCUAGGUCGGAUUAGCUAGUUGGUGGGGUAACGGCUUACCAAGGCGACGAUCCGUAGCUGGUCUGAGAGGAUGAUCAGCCACACUGGAACUGAGACACGGUCCAGACUCCUACGGGAGGCAGCAGUGGGGAAUAUUGGACAAUGGGCGAAAGCCUGAUGCAGCCAUGCCGCGUGUGUGAAGAAGGUCUUCGGAUUGUAAAGCACUUUAAGUGGGGAGGAAGGGAAGUAAGUUAAUACCUUGCCGUAUUGACGUUACCAACAGAAGAAGCACCGGCUAACUCCGUG
rnacentral:rRNA from 1 species